AUUGAACGCUGGCGGCAUGCUUUACACAUGCAAGUCGAACGGUAACAGCACUUCGGUGGCUGACGAGUGGCGAACGGGCGAGUAAUACAUCGGAACGUGCCUAGUAGUGGGGGAUAACUACUCGAAAGAGUAGCUAAUACCGCAUGAGAUCUAAGGAUGAAAGCAGGGGACCUUCGGGCCUUGCGCUACUAGAGCGGCUGAUGGCAGAUUAGGUAGUUGGUGGGAUAAAAGCUUACCAAGCCGACGAUCUGUAGCUGGUCUGAGAGGACGACCAGCCACACUGGGACUGAGACACGGCCCAGACUCCUACGGGAGGCAGCAGUGGGGAAUUUUGGACAAUGGGCGCAAGCCUGAUCCAGCAAUGCCGCGUGCAGGAUGAAGGCCUUCGGGUUGUAAACUGCUUUUGUACGGAACGAAAAACCCUCUUCUAAUACAGGGAGGUCAUGACGGUACCGUAAGAAUAAGCACCGGCUAACUACGUG
rnacentral:rRNA from 1 species